GACGAACGCUGGCGGCGUGCUUAACACAUGCAAGUCGAACGAAGUGGCGAACGGGUGAGUAACGCGUAAUCAACCUGCCCUUCACAGGGGGAUCACAGUUGGAAACGACUGCUAAUACCGCAUACUGAAGGAGGGGUUUGCGUCUGAUUAGCUAGUUGGUGGGGUAACGGCCCACCAAGGCGAUGAUCAGUAGCAGGGAUGGGAGGCUGAACGGGGAGAUUGGGAAUGAGACACGGCACAGACGGCUACGGGAGGCAGCAGUGGGGAAUCUUCCGCAAUGGACGAAAGUCUGAAGGAGCAACGCCGCGUGAGUGAUGACGGCCUUCGGGUUGUAAAGCUCUGUUAAUCGGGACGCGGUACCGGAAUAGAAAGCCACGGCUAACUACGUGCCAGCAGCCGCGGUAAUAC
rnacentral:rRNA from 1 species